CGGCGCACAUAAGACAUGCAAGUCGAACGGAAGUCGUUAUACUCGAAAUUGAUAUGAACAGAGAACUGUUCGAAGGAAAUUGAAAUGGACUUAUAACAAUGGCUUUAGUGGCGGACUGGUGAGUAACGCGUGAGCAACCUACCUAAUAGAGGGGAAUAACAGUGAGAAAUCAUUGCUAAUACCGCAUAUGCCAUGAGUAUCGCAUGAUACAAAUGGGAAAGGAGUAAUCCACUAAUAGAUGGGCUCGCGUCUGAUUAGAUAGUUGGUGGGGUAACGGCCUACCAAGUCAACGAUCAGUAGCCGGACUGAGAGGUUGAACGGCCACAUUGGGACUGAGAUACGGCCCAGACUCCUACGGGAGGCAGCAGUCGGGAAUAUUGCGCAAUGGAGGAAACUCCUGACGCAGUGACGCCGCGUAUAGGAAGAAGGUCUUCGGAUUGUAAACUAUUGUCGUUAGGGAAGAGAAAGGACAGUACCUAAGGAGGAAGCUCCGGCUAACUACGUGCCAGCCGCCGC
rnacentral:rRNA from 1 species